rnacentral:misc_RNA from 1 species
UCUCCGUUGGUGAACCAGCGGAGGGAUCAUUAGCGAGUUUACGCACUCCAAACCCACUGUGAACAGUUCCACGUUGCUUCGGCGGGCGGCCCCUCGGGAGGGGCCAGGCUGCCCCUCGCAGGGGUGCCCGCCAGAAGACCAAACCAAAACUCGUUUUUUUAGCGGCAUUCUGAGUCUAAAAACAAACUGUUAAAACUUUCAACAACGGAUCUCUUGGUUCUGGCAUCGAUGAAGAACGCAGC